GCCUCCAGCAGUGUAUGUGAAUGUGCCUGGAAAGAAAUAAAGAAGAGGAAAGGAUUUCUCUAGAGGAGGAAACUGUGUCUGUUUUGACUUUCUGUUUCCUAGCACUUGAGACAUAAUAAGUGCUGAAAAAAUGCCAUCAGAAAAGCAACAAGAACACUGACGAAAAUGGUCAAAAUUAGAAUGUACAGAACUCUGGAAAUGACAGGAUUGCAGCAUGUGAGGAAUGUCUGUUCCAGAAAGUCAGCUGGAUCACGGAUCCCAUCCAAGAUACCACAU